rnacentral:rRNA from 1 species
GACGAACGCUGGCGGCGUGCUUAACACAUGCAAGUCGAGCGGUAAGGCCCUUUCGGGGGUACACGAGCGGCGAACGGGUGAGUAACACGUGGGUGACCUGCCCUCAGCUCUGGGAUAAGCCUGGGAAACUGGGUCUAAUACUGGAUAUGACUCCACGGUGCAUGUCGUGGGGUGGAAAGCCUUGUGCGGCUGAGGAUGGGCCCGCGGCCUAUCAGCUUGUUGGUGGGGUGANGGCCUACCAAGGCGACGACGGGUAGCCGGCCCGAGAGGGCGACCGGCCACACUGGGACUGAGACACGGCCCAGACUCCUACGGGAGGCAGCAGUGGGGAAUCUUGCGCAAUGGGCGAAAGCCUGACGCAGCGACGCCGCGUGAGGGAUGAC